UACAGAGGGGGCAAGCGUUGUUCGGAAUUACUGGCGUAAAGGGCGCGUAGGCGGCCUUCUAAGUCGAACGUGAAAUCCCCGGGCUCAACCCGGGAACUGCCGUCCGAUACUGGAAGGCUUGAAUCCGGGAGAGGGGAUGCGGAAUUCCAGGGUGUAGGCGGUGAAAAUGCGUAGAUAUCUGGAGGAACACCGGUGGCGAAGGCGGCA
rnacentral:rRNA from 1 species